CUUUUUAGGGCUGUACCCUUGGCAUAUGGAGUUUCCCAGGCCAGGGAUCAAAUCAGAGCUGUAGCUGCUGGCCUACACCACAGCCACAGCAACACUGGAUCCAAGCUGUGUCUGUGACCUACACCACAGCUCAUGGCAAUGCUGGAUCCGUAACCCACUGAGUGAGUUCAGGGAUCAAACCCUUGUCCUCAUGGGUCCUAGUUGGGUUUGUUAACCAGAGCCUCGAUGGGAACUCCUCUAGCAUUUACUCUUUGUAGACUUUUUAAUGACUAUUCUGAUUGAUGUGAGGUGAUACCUCAUUGUAGUUUUGGUUUGCAUUUCUCUAGUGAUGUUGAACAUCUUUUCAUGUGUUUUUUUGGCAUCUAUAUGUCUUUUGCCCAUUUUUUUGAUUGGGUUGUUUGGUUUUUUGAAAUAGAGAUGUAUGAGCUAUAUGUAGAUUAAUCCCUUAUCAGUUGCUUCGUUUGGAAAGAUUUUCUUUCAUUCUGUGGAUGGUUUUCUGUUUUGCUUAUGAUUUUCUUUGCUGUGCAAAAAGCUUUUGAGUUUAAAUAGGUCCCUCAUUUUUAUUUUCAUUACUCUAGGAUAUAGGUCCUAAAAGAUGCUGCUGUGAUUUAUGUCAGAGUGUUUUGCCUAUGUUUUCCUCUAAGAGUUUUAUAGUAUCUAGCUGUUUUAUAGUGUCUAGCUUUAAUCCACUUAUUUUUGUGUUGUAAGUGUUCUAAUUUCAUCUUUUUAUAAUGUAGCUGUCCAGUUUUCCCAGUACCAUUUACUGAAGAGUGUGUUUCUACCUACCUCCUACGUCAUAGAUUAUUUGACCAUAGGUGCUUGGGUUUAUUUCUGGGAUUUCUGUCCUGUUGCACUGAUAUAUACUUCUGUGUCAGUACCAUACUGUUUUGAUGACUGUAGCUUUGUAGUAUAGUCUGAUGGCAGGGACCCCUAUUCUUCUAGCUCUUUUCUUCCUUCUCAGGAUUGUUUUGGCUACUUUGGAUUUUUGUGUUUCCAUACAAAUUUAAAAUUUUUUGUUCUGGUUUUUUUUGUUGUUGUUCUU
rnacentral:lncRNA from 1 species